rnacentral:lncRNA from 1 species
UUGGAAAUUCAAGGUGCCUACAUAGCCAAGACAAUCUUGCAAAUGACUGUAGGACUCAUACUACCCACUUUCAAGAUUUAACAUACUGUCUUCUGAGGAAAGCCACAGAGAAUUCCAAUACUUUGAAUGUGAAUGAAAAUUAAUACAUCACAUCAAUCAAGGAUGCUGCUAAAAUACAGUGUGUCAAUGAAUAGAAAGGAGCAUCUAGUAACAAAUUUUAUUUUAAUUUUUGUGUUGAUUAAAAAAAGGUGUGUGUAUCUGUGUACCUGUGUGUGAGUGUGUACCUGUGGGUGAGUAUGUAUACAUUCAUGUGGGUUCCUAUGGAGGACAGGAGAGGGUAUUAGAUCCCUUGGAGCUGGAGUUACAGCGUGACAUGGGUGCUAGGAAUUGGACUUGUGUCCUCUAAGAGAGCAGGAGAAGCUCAUAAUGAAUGGGGCAUCUCUCCAGCUCCCAUGGUUUUAGACAACUCUUUUUGUACAAAAAUGGAUUGAAGUACAAAUCCAUUGGCAAAAGAAUAAUCUUGAAACAUUUGAUGCUGGCACUGUGACUGUCCACAUAUUGAAGAAUACACUUGGUAGUAAACUUCCCACCAUAAGCAAAAUUAAUUCAAUACAAAUCAGUGUGUUAAAUGUAAGAAUUAAAACUAUGGAAAUCUACCCGUGUGUAAGUCACAUUGACCUUGGAUUAGUCAAUAAUUCCUCCUUUAAAAAGAAGUUUUUAAAAUUAUUUUAUGAGUAUGAAUGUCAUGUGUGUGUGUGUGUGUGUGCAUAUGUACACCUAUAUGCAACAUGUAUGUGCUUGAUAACCCACGUCAGAGUAUCAUUUCAGAUCACCUUAAAUUGGACUUAAGGACAGUUGUAAGCCACCAUGUUGGUGCUGGAAUGGAACCUGGGUCUGUCCUUUUCCCAUACCAGUAAGUGCUCAUAACGGCUGAGCCAUCUCUCUAGCUCCAAUAAUUUCUUAGAUAUACCAUGUAAGGCAGAAGCAACCAAUUCAAAAUAUAUUUGACUUCAUCAAAAUUAAAUUCGUGCAUUACGUAAAAACAUUAAAGUGAAAACGCAAACUACAAAGUGGGGAAAUAUUUACACAGCAUGCAUUUUAUAAUGAUAUGACAUCAAGAAUGACCAAUUCGUUCAAUAAUAAGACAAAUGACCCAGUUAAAGGCACUUAAAAUAAUUAAAAUAAAUAUCCAUUCUAAAAUUAUACACAAGUGAUCAGUAAGCUAUGGAGAAAUGGUUAAUCCCAAUCAGCAAUAUGAAAAUUCAUGUAAUAUUAUGCUAAGUUACUGCUGCCUACAAGAUGCUACAUCAUGCAUAUGAUAGGCAGGGAAAGUGUGGACUAAGUGGAAAAGAGUCUGAGGCCCUUAUACGUUGCUGGUAAGGAUGUAAAAUGGUUCAUUUGGGGGAAAAUUUGGUAGUUUCUCAGAUAAUUAAAAGUGAAGGUAUCAUAUUACCCAGUGAUUCCACUUUAAGAUGAUAUUGAGGAAAAAUUAAAACCUAGGAACACAAAAUCUCCAUGUUAUUUAACUACUGAACUACGUAUGCCGGAAAUAACUACAGUUGUCCACCAACAGCUUGAAGGCUCUGUAGAAUGUGCUGUGACCAAACUAUGAAAUGAAAGAAGCCAGAGUAAGGGGAUAGCUAGGAAAAGAUCAUUGGGUUCUGCAUGAAGAACACUGCAUCAAGAGUCCCUCUUAUCUCAACAGCUGAGAAACCUUUCUCUUCUGAGGCAUCUACUACUUCUCAGUGCUGAGCUACAAAUAUAUCCAGUACAUUUUUAUUGAGGGUUAUGGCAAAUGGCCAAUGUUACCUCUGGGAGUGUGUCCACACACACUACUUUGUAAACUGUAGUUUCUCCUCUGUAGGACAGGGAUUAUUUAUGCUGAGUGGCUAAUUAUAUCCAUGUCAAAAUAUGUUUUUUAAAAGCCUAAUUCAUUUAUGAUGCAAGACACCUUUGAUAACCACUAUAUAGUAACAAAAGUCAUUAUAAAUCAGUAAAGG